UACGUAGGGUCCAAGCGUUAUCCGGAAUCACUGGGCGUAAAGCGUGCGUAGGUGGUAAUUUGCGUGCAGUGCGAAAUUGUGUGGCUCAACCAUACAACGGUACUGCAUACGGGAUUACUAGAGGACAUGAGAGGCAAGUGGAAUUACUGGUGUAGCAGUGAAAAUGCGUAGAUAUCAGUAGGAACACCAAUGGCGAAAGGCAGCUUGCUGGCAUGUAUCUGACGCUAAGGCACGAAAAGCGUGGGGGAGCGAACAGG
rnacentral:rRNA from 1 species